rnacentral:rRNA from 1 species
GACGAACGCUGGCGGCGUGCUUAACACAUGCAAGUCGAACGGAAAGGCCCCUUUGGGGGUACUCGAGUGGCGAACGGGUGAGUAACACGUGAGUAACCUGCCCUUGACUUCGGGAUAACUUCAGGAAACUGGGGCUAAUACCGGAUAGGAAUCCUUGCUGCAUGGUGGGGGUUGGAAAGCUUCGGCGGUUUUGGAUGGACUCGCGGCUUAUCAGCUUGUUGGUGGGGUAGUGGCUUACCAAGGCUUUGACGGGUAGCCGGCCUGAGAGGGCGACCGGCCACAUUGGGACUGAGAUACGGCCCAGACUCCUACGGGAGGCAGCAGUGGGGAAUAUUGCACAAUGGGCGGAAGCCUGAUGCAGCAACGCCGCGUGCGGGAUGACGGCCUUCGGGUUGUAAUCCGCUUUCAGCAGGGGCGAAGCUUGUGGUGACGGUACCUGCAGAAGAAGCACCGGCUAACUACGUG